rnacentral:rRNA from 1 species
UGGGGAAUAUUGCACAAUGGGGGAAACCCUGAUGCAGCAACGCCGCGUGAGUGAAGAAGUAUUUCGGUAUGUAAAGCUCUAUCAGCAGGGAAGAAAAUGACAGUACCUGACUAAGAAGCCCCGGCUAACUACGUGCCAGCAGCCGCGGUAAUACGUAGGGGGCAAGCGUUAUCCGGAUUUACUGGGUGUAAAGGGAGCGUAGACGGUUAUGCAAGUCAGAAGUGAAAGCCCGGGGCUUAACCGCGGGACUGCUUUUGAAACUGUAGAACUAGAGUGCAGGAGAGGUAAGUGGAAUUCCUAGUGUAGCGGUGAAAUGCGUAGAUAUUAGGAGGAACACCGGUGGCGAAGGCGGCUUACUGGACUGUAACUGACGUUGAGGCUCGAAAGCGUGGGGAGCAAACAGG